rnacentral:rRNA from 1 species
GACGAAGGGGGCUAGCGUUGUUCGGAAUUACUGGGCGUAAAGCGCGUGUAGGCGGUUGCCAAAGUCGGGUGUGAAAGCCUUGAGCUCAACUCAAGAAAUGCACUCGAUACUUGGUGACUAGAGGACCGGAGAGGAUAGUGGAAUUCCCAGUGUAGUGGUGAAAUACGUAGAGAUUGGGAAGAACACCAGUGGCGAAGGCGGCUAUCUGGACGGUUUCUGACGCUGAGGCGCGAAAGCUAGGGUAGCAAACAGG